rnacentral:tRNA from 1 species
AGUUUUGGUGCAGUGGUUAAGUGUUUUUGGCUGCUAACCAAAAGGUCGGUAGUUCAAACCCACCAAGCU